UUAUAUACACCAAAUAAAGAGGGAGAAAGUUAACAAAACUCCCUAAUACUCACUGUACUAGCAAAGUACAUUCUGUCCCAAGAGAGCUUUUGGUAAGGAAAAUUGAAAUCCACUACAAAUUCAAUUUAGCUCUCAAAAUGAAUGACCAAAUUCUUCAGGUUUUAUCUUUUUUUCUGCUUAGCCCAGUCCUCUUGAGUGGUGGCAAC